rnacentral:rRNA from 1 species
UACAGAGGGUGCGAGCGUUAAUCGGAAUUACUGGGCGUAAAGCGCGCGUAGGCGGCUUUGCAAGUCGAACGUGAAAUCCCAGGGCUCAACCCUGGAACUGCCUUUGAUACUGACGAUCUGGAGAUCGGGAGAGGUUGGUGGAAUUCCGAGUGUAGAGGUGAAAUUCGUAGAUAUUCGGAGGAACACCAGAAGCGAAGGCGGCCAACUGGCCCGAUACUGACGCUGAGGCGCGAAAGCGUGGGGAGCAAACAGG